UACGGGGGGGGCAAGCGUUGUUCGGAAUUACUGGGCGUAAAGGGCGCGUAGGCGGCCUGUUAAGUCGAACGUGAAAUCCCCGGGCUCAACCCGGGAACUGCGUCCGAUACUGGCAGGCUUGAAUCCGGGAGAGGGAUGCGGAAUUCCUAGUGUAGCGGUGAAAUGCGUAGAGAUUAGGAAGAACCCCAGUGGCGAAGGCGACUUUCUGGACCAUAACUGACGCUGAGGCAUGAAAGCGUGGGGAGCAAACAGG
rnacentral:rRNA from 1 species